CGCAAACAUGCAGUCGGACGGCCUUUGUGUGAGCAGGAAGCGAACCGCAUCGGCUCGGCCCUUUUUGGCGGCCACCGCCAAGGCCGUAGGCGGGCAGGUGCCCUGUUGAGGAGCGGCCUCGUGCAAGGCGGCCAGCACAUCGACGCGGCCCUUUUUCGCGGCGCAAACAAACGCAUCUGUCGAUACGCGAUAACCGGCGGCAACAAGGGGUGCGAUCGCAUCGACGUGACCGCCCUUGGCCGCCGCUGCGACGACGCCGCAAAGGCAAACCACCGGGUUCGUGUCGUAGUGGUAAAAUGGUACCGAGCACACGGGAUGACGAGCGGCCGUCGUGUGCUUGUGCAGCCAGAGGACAUUGUCAACCCUGCCGGCGGCGGCGGCCGCGACGAUGUGCGCCGUGCUAUAGCGCGUCGUAGCGCCAUUGCGUCGAGCGAGAAAGGCCAACGCCUCGGGCGGGCACACGGCAACCGCGUCCAAGAGAUCGAGUCGGCCAUAGCGGCGCAUGAGCACGUCACCCACCGGACAUACGUUGAAAGCCUUGGACGUCACCAACAGGGAUACGAAAUCGCGGUUGUUGAGCCACGCAAUGAUCGACGCCAGGAUUUCGGCCGGAAGCCAUUCGAGAGACCGCCCCGCGAUGUCGUCCAUGCCGUCUCUGUUUUUCUCUUUUUUCCCUCGACUUUGCGGCGUGCACGCGAAAGGUACAAAGGAAUAUCGGCCGACCGCUUUGCGCCGCCCAUGCAAGAAAAAAAGAGACAAAGUUUUUUUCAUUGGCC
rnacentral:lncRNA from 1 species